rnacentral:rRNA from 1 species
UACGGAGGGGGCUAGCGUUGUUCGGAAUUACUGGGCGUAAAGCGCACGUAGGCGGACUGUUAAGUCGGGGUGAAAUCCUGGGGCUCAACCUCAGAAUUGCCUCCGAUACUGGCAGUCUCGAGUGCGGGAGAGGUGAGUGGAAUUCCCAGUGUAGAGGUGAAAUUCGUAGAUAUUGGGAAGAACACCAGUGGCGAAGGCGGCUCACUGGCCCGUAACUGACGCUGAGGUGCGAAAGCGUGGGGAGCAAACAGG